AACGAACGCUGGCGGCAGGCCUCAAACAUGCAAGUCUAGCGGGCGUAGCAAUACGUCAGCGGCGGACGGGUGCGUAACACGUGGGAACGUACCCUUUGGUUCGGAACAACUCAGGGAAACUUGAGCUAAUACCGGAUGUGCCCGAAAGGGGAAAGAUUUAUCGCCAAAGGAUCGGCCCGCGUUCGAUUAGCUAGUUGGUGAGGUAAUGGCUCACCAAGGCGACGAUCGAUAGCUGGUCUGAGAGGACGAUCAGCCACACUGGGACUGAGACACGGCCCAGACUCCUACGGGAGGCAGCAGUUGGGAAUCUUGGACAAUGGGGGAAACCCUGAUCCAGCCAUGCCGCGUGAGUGAUGAAGGCCUUCGGGUUGUAAAACUCUUUCGACGGGGACGAUAAURRCGG
rnacentral:rRNA from 1 species